GAUGAACGCUGGCGGCGUGCCUAAUACAUGCAAGUCGAGCGAACAGACGAGGAGCUUGCUCCUCUGACGUUAGCGGCGGACGGGUGAGUAACACGUGGAUAACCUACCUAUAAGACUGGGAUAACUUCGGGAAACCGGAGCUAAUACCGGAUAAUAUAUUGAACCGCAUGGUUCAAUAGUGAAAGACGGUUUUGCUGUCACUUAUAGAUGGAUCCGCGCCGCAUUAGCUAGUUGGUAAGGAAACGGCUUACCAAGGCGACGAUGCGUAGCCGACCUGAGAGGGUGAUCGGCCACACGGGAACUGAGACACGGUCCAGACACCGACAGGAGGCAGCAGUAGGGAAUCUUCCGCAAGGGGCGAGAGCCUGACGGAGCAACGCCGCGUGAGUGAUGAAGGUCUUCGGAUCGUAAAACUCUGUUAUUAGGGAAGAACAAAUGUGUAAGUAACUAUGCACGUCUUGACGGUACCUAAUCAGAAAGCCACGGCUAACUACGUG
rnacentral:rRNA from 1 species